AUGUCUCAAGGUGUCGCGGCUCUGGCUUUCAAUGCAUCUUCUUCUCUGGCCAUCAAUGCCGUGCAGGGCUUGCCACGAAGUUCUGCUCCCUCGACCCCUGAGCCGCUGCGGGCGCCAUCGAUCGAGCCGUUGAAGGUGGACCGGGUGAAGACUGGCAGCUGGUUAAAGCUCCGUACUGGUGGCGUGCCCUCGCCCCCAACCACCACCACUCAAGCCGCCGGUCAGCGCCAUCACUCUCCCCGCCUACCGGCCGAGCCUUUGUCAAGCGUCGCCACAGGAUCUAUCACAAAUGCUUGGAGAAGGGGCACAACAAGGUUGAUUGCAGAGACCCGUAUAAGUGCCUGA
rnacentral:rRNA from 1 species